GACGAACGCUGGCGGCGUGCUUAACACAUGCAAGUCGAACGGAAAGGCCCUGCUUUUGUGGGGUGCUCGAGUGGCGAACGGGUGAGUAACACGUGAGUAACCUGCCCUUGACUUUGGGAUAACUUCAGGAAACUGGGGCUAAUACCGGAUAGGAGCUCCUGCUGCAUGGUGGGGGUUGGAAAGUUUCGGCGGUUGGGGAUGGACUCGCGGCUUAUCAGCUUGUUGGUGGGGUAGUGGCUUACCAAGGCUUUGACGGGUAGCCGGCCUGAGAGGGUGACCGGGCACAUGGGGACUGAGAUACGGCCCAGACGCCUACGGGAGGCAGCAGUGGGGAAUAUUGCACAAUGGGCGGAAGCCUGAUGCAGCAACGCCGCGUGCGGGAUGACGGGCUUCGGGUUGUAAACCGCUUUCGCCGGUGACGAAGCGUGAGUGACGGUAAUGGGUAAAGAAGCACCGGCUAACUACGUG
rnacentral:rRNA from 1 species